rnacentral:rRNA from 1 species
UACGUAGGGUGCGAGCGUUAAUCGGAAUUACUGGGCGUAAAGCGUGCGCAGGCGGUUGGUUAAGUCUGAUGUGAAAGCCCCGGGCUCAACUUGGGAACUGCAUUGGAAACUGGCCAGCUGGAGUGUGGCAGAGGGGGGUGGAAUUCCGCGUGUAGCAGUGAAAUGCGUAGAUAUCUGGAGGAACACCGGUGGCGAAGGCGGCAUCCUGGACCGGCAUUGACGCUGAGGCGCGAAAGCCAGGGGAAGCAAAGCGGG